CCCUUAGAUGUUCUGGGCCGCACGCGCGAUACACUGAUGCAUUCAACGAGUUCUUCCUGGUCCGAGAGGAAUGGGUAACCUUUUGAAAGUGCAUCGUGCUAGGGAUAGACUAUUGCAAUUAUUGGUCUUCAACGAGGAAUUCCUAGUAGACGUAGUUCAUCAGACUGCAUCGAUUACGUCCCUGCCCUUUGUACACACCGCCCGUCGCUCCUACCGAUUGGAUGAUCCGGUGAGCUAUUCGGACCUGUGCAUUUUCCAUUGGAACUUGCGUGGGAAAGUCUCGCGAACCUUAUCAUCUAGAGGAAGGAGAAGUCGUAACA
rnacentral:rRNA from 1 species